rnacentral:rRNA from 1 species
CCUACGGGCGGCAGCAGUGAGGAAUAUUGGUCAAUGGACGAGAGUCUGAACCAGCCAAGUAGCGUGAAGGAUGACUGCCCUAUGGGUUGUAAACUUCUUUUAUAAAGGAAUAAAGUCGGGUAUGGAUACCCGUUUGCAUGUACUUUAUGAAUAAGGAUCGGCUAACUCCGUGCCAGCAGCCGCGGUAAUACGGAGGAUGCGAGCGUUAUCCGGAUUUAUUGGGUUUAAAGGGAGCGCAGACGGGAGAUUAAGUCAGUUGUGAAAGUUUGCGGCUCAACCGUAAAAUUGCAGUUGAUACUGGUUUCCUUGAGUGCAGUUGAGGCAGGCGGAAUUCGUGGUGUAGCGGUGAAAUGCUUAGAUAUCACGAAGAACCCCGAUUGCGAAGGCAGCUUGCUAAACUGUAACUGACGUUCAUGCUCGAAAG